GGGUUGUGAGGUUAAGUGACUAAGCGUACACGGUGGAUGCCUAGGCAGUCAGAGGCGAUGAAGGGCGUGCUAAUCUGCGAAAAGCGUCGGUAAGGUGAUAUGAACCGUUAUAACCGGCGAUACCCGAAUGGGGAAACCCAGUGUGUUUCGACACACUAUCAUGUCAUGAAUACAUAGUGGCAUGAGGCGAACCGGGGGAACUGAAACAUCUAAGUACCCCGAGGAAAAGAAAUCAACCGAGAUUCCCCCAGUAGCGGCGAGCGAACGGGGAGGAGCCCAGAACCUGAAUCGGCUUGUGUGUUAGUGGAAGCGUCUGGAAAGUCGCGCAGCAAAGGGUGAUAGCCCCGUACACUAAAAUGCACAAGUCGUGAGUUCGAUGAGUAGGGCGGGACACGUGACAUCCUGUCUGAAUAUGGGGGGACCAUCCUCCAAGGCUAAAUACUCCUGACUGACCGAUAGUGAACCAGUACCGUGAGGGAAAGGCGAAAAGAACCCCGGCGAGGGGAGUGAAAUAGAACCUGAAACCGUGUACGUACAAGCAGUGGGAGCACCUUCGUGGUGUGACUGCGUACCUUUUGUAUAAUGGGUCAGCGACUUAUAUUUUGUAGCAAGGUUAACCGUAUAGGGGAGCCGUAGGGAAACCGAGUCUUAACUGGGCGAAUAGUUGCAAGGUAUAGACCCGAAACCCGGUGAUCUAGCCAUGGGCAGGUUGAAGGUUGGGUAACACUAACUGGAGGACCGAACCGACUAAUGUUGAAAAAUUAGCGGAUGACUUGUGGCUGGGGGUGAAAGGCCAAUCAAACCGGGAGAUAGCUGGUUCUCCCCGAAAGCUAUUUAGGUAGCGCCUCGUGAACUCAUCUUCGGGGGUAGAGCACUGUUUCGGCUAGGGGGCCAUCCCGGCUUACCAAACCGAUGCAAACUCCGAAUACCGAAGAAUGUUAUCACGGGAGACACACGGCGGGUGCUAACGUCCGUCGUGAAGAGGGAAACAACCCAGACCGCCAGCUAAGGUCCCAAAGUCAUGGUUAAGUGGGAAACGAUGUGGGAAGGCAUAGACAGCCAGGAUGUUGGCUUAGAAGCAGCCAUCAUUUAAAGAAAGCGUAAUAGCUCACUGGUCGAGUCGGCCUGCGCGGAAGAUGUAACGGGGCUAAACCAUGCACCGAAGCUGCGGCAGCGACGCUUAGGCGUUGUUGGGUAGGGGAGCGUUCUGUAAGCCGUUGAAGGUGGCCUGUGAGGGUUGCUGGAGGUAUCAGAAGUGCGAAUGCUGACAUAAGUAACGAUAAAGCGGGUGAAAAGCCCGCUCGCCGGAAGACCAAGGGUUCCUGUCCAACGUUAAUCGGGGCAGGGUGAGUCGACCCCUAAGGCGAGGCUGAAAAGCGUAGUCGAUGGGAAACAGGUUAAUAUUCCUGUACUUGGUGUUACUGCGAAGGGGGGACGGAGAAGGCUAGGCUAGCCGGGCGACGGUUGUCCCGGUUUAAGCGUGUAGGGGGUGUGACCUGGUAAAUCCGGUUGCAUAUCAACCCUGAGGCGUGAUGACGAUGCACUACGGUGCAGAAGUAGUUGAUGCCCUGCUUCCAGGAAAAUCCUCUAAGCAUCAGGUAACAUUAAAUCGUACCCCAAACCGACACAGGUGGUCAGGUAGAGAAUACCAAGGCGCUUGAGAGAACUCGGGUGAAGGAACUAGGCAAAAUGGUGCCGUAACUUCGGGAGAAGGCACGCUGGCAUGUAGGUGAAGUCCCUUGCGGAUGGAGCUGAAGCCAGUCGAAGAUACCAGCUGGCUGCAACUGUUUAAUAAAAACACAGCACUGUGCAAACACGAAAGUGGACGUAUACGGUGUGACGCCUGCCCGGUGCUGGAAGGUUAAUUGAUGGGGUCAGCCGCAAGGCGAAGCUCUUGAUCGAAGCCCCAGUAAACGGCGGCCGUAACUAUAACGGUCCUAAGGUAGCGAAAUUCCUUGUCGGGUAAGUUCCGACCUGCACGAAUGGCGUAAUGAUGGCCAGGCUGUCUCCACCCGAGACUCAGUGAAAUUGAACUCGCUGUGAAGAUGCAGUGUACCCGCGGCAAGACGGAAAGACCCCGUGAACCUUUACUAUAGCUUGACACUGAACAUUGAGCCUUGAUGUGUAGGAUAGGUGGGAGGCUUUGAAGCGUGGACGCCAGUCUGCGUGGAGCCAUCCUUGAAAUACCACCCUUUAAUGUUUGAUGUUCUAACUCGGCCCCGUAAUCCGGGGUGAGGACAGUGUCUGGUGGGUAGUUUGACUGGGGCGGUCUCCUCCCAAAGAGUAACGGAGGAGCACGAAGGUUAGCUAAUCACGGUCGGACAUCGUGAGGUUAGUGCAAAGGCAUAAGCUAGCUUGACUGCGAGAGUGACGGCUCGAGCAGGUACGAAAGUAGGUCUUAGUGAUCCGGUGGUUCUGAAUGGAAGGGCCAUCGCUCAACGGAUAAAAGGUACUCCGGGGAUAACAGGCUGAUACCGCCCAAGAGUUCAUAUCGACGGCGGUGUUUGGCACCUCGAUGUCGGCUCAUCACAUCCUGGGGCUGAAGUAGGUCCCAAGGGUAUGGCUGUUCGCCAUUUAAAGUGGUACGCGAGCUGGGUUUAGAACGUCGUGAGACAGUUCGGUCCCUAUCUGCCGUGGGCGUUGGAAGAUUGAGAGGGGUUGCUCCUAGUACGAGAGGACCGGAGUGAACGCACCACUGGUGUUCGGGUUGUCAUGCCAAUGGCAUUGCCCGGUAGCUAAGUGCGGAAAAGAUAAGCGCUGAAAGCAUCUAAGCGCGAAACUUGCCUCAAGAUGAGUCUUCCCUGGGCCUUUAAGGCCCCUGAAGGAACGUUUAAGACUAAGACGUUGAUAGGCUGGGUGUGUAAGUGCAGCGAUGCAUUGAGCUAACCAGUACUAAUGAUCCGUGAGGCUUAACCUUACAACACCGAAGGUGUUU
rnacentral:rRNA from 1 species